GCAGGCGGCAGCUACCAUGCAGUCGAGCGGUAACAGAUCCAGCUUGCUGGAUGCUGACGAGCGGCGGACGGGUGAGUAAUGCAUAGGAAUCUGCCCGAUAGUGGGGGAUAACCUGGGGAAACCCAGGCUAAUACCGCAUACGUCCUACGGGAGAAAGGGGGCUUCGGCUCCCGCUAUCGGAUGAGCCUAUGUCGGAUUAGCUAGUUGGUGAGGUAACGGCUCACCAAGGCCACGAUCCGUAGCUGGUCUGAGAGGAUGAUCAGCCACAUCGGGACUGAGACACGGCCCGAACUCCUACGGGAGGCAGCAGUGGGGAAUAUUGGACAAUGGGGGGAACCCUGAUCCAGCCAUGCCGCGUGUGUGAAGAAGGCCCUCGGGUUGUAAAGCACUUUCAGCGAGGAAGAACGCCUAGCGGUUAAUACCCGCUAGGAAAGACAUCACUCGCAGAAGAAGCACCGGCUAACUCCGUGCCAGCAGCCGCGGUAAUACGGAGGGUGCAAGCGUUAAUCGGAAUUACUGGGCGUAAAGCGCGCGUAGGUGGCUUGAUAAGCCGGUUGUGAAAGCCCCGGGCUCAACCUGGGAACGGCAUCCGGAACUGUCAAGCUAGAGUGCAGGAGAGGAAGGUAGAAUUCCCGGUGUAGCGGUGAAAUGCGUAGAGAUCGGGAGGAAUACCAGUGGCGAAGGCGGCCUUCUGGACUGACACUGACACUGAGGUGCGAAAGCGUGGGUAGCAAACAGGAUUAGAUACUGGGUAGGUCAGUC
rnacentral:rRNA from 1 species